GGAUUGUAGCUCAGUGGUAGAGUGCUUGCCUAGCAUAUGUGAAGCACUGGGUUUGAAUCUCAGCACCA
rnacentral:tRNA from 1 species